GGGGCGCUGGCGCAACGGUAGCGCGUCAGAUUCCAGUCCUGAAGGUUAUCCGUUCGAAUCGGGUGUGCCUCA
rnacentral:tRNA from 7 species